AGAAAUGCACAUUUAUUUAAUAUGCAAGAACAGAAUUCAAUCAGCGUCUUUGUCCACCAAUAAAUUGCUGAUGCCGAUCUUUGUGUUUUGUAAAUGGAAACCUCACAACCUGUAUUGUGUUGAUGUUUUUUCUUUUGGGUGAGCUGAGUGUCUGGCACAUGGGGAAACCCAUCAAGAGUAUCCAAACCAAACUGAGAAUUCCACGCCUCUCACCUACACAUGGAAAUCCCAGAGAUGGAUAAUUGGAAUGCGCUCUCUUCCUGGAGUGAAACUGUCUGCAUUGAGUUUUGAAGAUAAAGAAAAGGAGGAACCAUUACUUAUUCAAUGAGACACUUGCCUCGAGAUCCUAAAUGUUGUUGGAAGCAUUCUGAUUAAAAACACUAGGAAGCACAAGUCUUUCAUCCUGUCAAGCCCACACCCAACACAGACAGCUGAACCCAGUAUAUCCAAAACAAUGCUGGACAGACGAUCAGGGCUGCAGGAUCAAGGCAGGAUUGCUAUGUGGCGUUCUCCCACUGGGUUUACACAUCUUUCACUUCCACUUUCUGAUUAAUUUAUGCAUCGACCGGAUGAUUCAACCAUGGACAUUUUCAGCGUCUGCCCCUUCGCAACAACUGUAAAAGCAGCUUGUAAAGUGAGUUGAAAGCUACUGAAAUAAAUAAAUAUCAACCAUUUUACUGG